GUCAAAGCGUUCAUUAAAGUCGAGUUGGCUUAGGGAUACGUUCGUUGGGUAGGGGAGCGUUCUGUAAGCCUGUGAAGGUGUGUCGUGAGGCAUGCUGGAGGUAUCAGAAGUGCGAAUGCUGACAUAAGUAACGAUAAAGCGGGUGAAAAGCCCGCUCGCCGGAAGACCAAGGGUUCCUGUCCAACGUUAAUCGGGGCAGGGUGAGUCGACCCCUAAGGCGAGGCCGAAAGGCGUAGUCGAUGGGAAACGGGUUAAUAUUCCCGUACUUGGUGUUACUGCGAAGGGGGGACGGAGAAGGCUAUGUUGGCCGGGCGACGGUUGUCCCGGUUUAAGCGUGUAGGUGUGUGUUCCAGGUAAAUCCGGUUCACUUUAACACUGAGGCGUGACGACGAGGCACUACGGUGCUGAAGCAACAAAUGCCCUGCUUCCAGGAAAAGCCUCUAAGCAUCAGGUAACAUCAAAUCGUACCCCAAACCGACACAGGUGGUCAGGUAGAGAAUACCAAGGCGCUUGAGAGAACUCGGGUGAAGGAACUAGGCAAAAUGGUGCCGUAACUUCGGGAGAAGGCACGCUGACACGUAGGUGAAGUGAUUUACUCAUGGAGCUGAAGUCAGUCGAAGAUACCAGCUGGCUGCAACUGUUUAUUAAAAACACAGCACUGUGCAAACACGAAAGUGGACGUAUACGGUGUGACGCCUGCCCGGUGCCGGAAGGUUAAUUGAUGGGGUCAGCGUAAGCGAAGCUCCUGAUCGAAGCCCCGGUAAACGGCGGCCGUAACUAUAACGGUCCUAAGGUAGCGAAAUUCCUUGUCGGGUAAGUUCCGACCUGCACGAAUGGCGUAAUGAUGGCCAGGCUGUCUCCACCCGAGACUCAGUGAAAUUGAACUCGCUGUGAAGAUGCAGUGUACCCGCGGCAAGACGGAAAGACCCCGUGAACCUUUACUAUAGCUUGACACUGAACAUUGAGCCUUGAUGUGUAGGAUAGGUGGGAGGCUUUGAAGUGUGGACGCCAGUCUGCAUGGAGCCGACCUUGAAAUACCACCCUUUAAUGUUUGAUGUUCUAACGUGGACCCGUAAUCCGGGUUGCGGACAGUGUCUGGUGGGUAGUUUGACUGGGGCGGUCUCCUCCUAAAGAGUAACGGAGGAGCACGAAGGUUGGCUAAUCCUGGUCGGACAUCAGGAGGUUAGUGCAAUGGCAUAAGCCAGCUUGACUGCGAGCGUGACGGCGCGAGCAGGUGCGAAAGCAGGUCAUAGUGAUCCGGUGGUUCUGAAUGGAAGGGCCAUCGCUCAACGGAUAAAAGGUACUCCGGGGAUAACAGGCUGAUACCGCCCAAGAGUUCAUAUCGACGGCGGUGUUUGGCACCUCGAUGUCGGCUCAUCACAUCCUGGGGCUGAAGUAGGUCCCAAGGGUAUGGCUGUUCGCCAUUUAAAGUGGUACGCGAGCUGGGUUUAGAACGUCGUGAGACAGUUCGGUCCCUAUCUGCCGUGGGCGCUGGAGAACUGAGGGGGGCUGCUCCUAGUACGAGAGGACCGGAGUGGACGCAUCACUGGUGUUCGGGUUGUCAUGCCAAUGGCACUGCCCGGUAGCUAAAUGCGGAAGAGAUAAGUGCUGAAAGCAUCUAAGCACGAAACUUGCCCCGAGAUGAGUUCUCCCUGAGACUUAGAGUCUCCUGAAGGAACGUUGAAGACGACGACGUUGAUAGGCCGGGUGUGUAAGCGCAGCGAUGCGUUGAGCUAACCGGUACUAAUGAACCGUGAGGCUUAACCUUACA
rnacentral:rRNA from 1 species